rnacentral:lncRNA from 1 species
CACAUCGCGGAGAGGAGCAGGUCUUUGCCCUUCUUCUCACCCACCAGCCACCUCAGCUCACCCCUGGUUGAGGUCGUUCUCCGUGUUGUCCAGCCACAGGCGAACGGCCACCGCGUUGCCCUCCCGGCACUGAGUGAAAAUGUCGUCCAUAGCAGCGUCCCGGCGCUGAAUCCCCUAGAUUGGGGAAGCCUGGGGACUCUGGAGGGAUCCAGGGAAGGAGAGUGAACCCCGAGCUUUGUCCCCCACCAGAGAUAAGUGUUUGUGUUGGGGGCAGAGGGUCCCGGCUGCCUCUCCGGCUAGUGGAGGUCUGGAAAGGAGUUGGGGAAGAGGGGAUGAUUCCCCGACUGUGUACCCUGGGCGCGAAGGAAAGGCGGGUCCGAACGAGGUAGGGGGUGAUUAGGAAGUAGAGUCCCCUGAAGGGAUGUCAGCGGGCAAGCACUGGGACCCUACCCGCCAACAGAACUGGGGGAGGGGGAGUUCAGGCGCCCUAUACCCUGUGAGAGGCGAUCGGGGGUCCUUCCCGGGGGUGGCCCUCCUUCCCUACUCGGUAUUCGGGCCGAGUGAAGGCUGACGGGUUGGCAGGGGUCGAGCCUUGGGGAGCGGCACGGGUGCUCUAGCACUCACCGGGACUCGGGCUGAAGGAGCCUUCUCCGGGGAACUCCCGUCCGGCCGCGCCCGCCGCCCAGCCCCGCCCCUGGCCCUCUCGGGCCAGCGCGGGCCCCCAACUCUCCCUCCCGCCUCCCUUGCCCUUCUAGCUAGCAGUGCCUAAACUCGAUGGUUUUCGGCGCCGCG